UACGUAGGGUGCGAGCGUUGUCCGGAAUUACUGGGCGUAAAGAGCUCGUAGGUGGUUUGUCGCGUUGUUCGUGAAAACUCACAGCUCAACUGUGGGCGUGCGGGCGAUACGGGCAGACUAGAGUACUGCAGGGGAGACUGGAAUUCCUGGUGUAGCGGUGGAAUGCGUAGAUAUCGAGAGGAACACCUGCGGCGAAGGCGGGUUGCUGGGCUGACACUGACGCUGAGGCGCGAAAGCUAGGGGAGCGAACGGG
rnacentral:rRNA from 1 species